AUUUAUAUAGUAUAAAAUAUUACAUUUAAUUUCCAAUUAAAAAACUUAAACCCACUUUAAUAUAAAUA
rnacentral:tRNA from 1 species